UCUUUCCCUCCAGGAUCCCCUCCCGCACACGAGUGGGGACCGGCCGGGACCUCCAGCAUCUGCAGCCUCCUCCUCCUCCUCCUCCCGGGGGGCGGCUUUCCCCCGGGCCUGCAUCUCCCCGCCACCUGCCCGGAUGAACCCGUUGGAAAUCUGCCUCUGAGGGCUCCUGGCCAUUGAUGCUUCUCCCCUCGCCCCCUCCCCGCUUGGCACCAGCGAACGCCCGGAGGACGCCUCCUCCCGCAGCCGGCGCGGGGAUCGGCUGAAGCGGACUCCUGCGGUGCUCGGUCCGAUCCGAGGGGCUUGGCUUCGUAGACCCAGGUCAAGGGCCCCAUCCCAGGCUGCCCCAGGACCUGCCCUUCCCUCCUC